GACGAACGCUGGCGGCGUGCUUAACACAUGCAAGUCGAACGAGGUUCAUCCGGUAGCAAUACCGGUGAAGACCUAGUGGCGAACGGGUGCGUAACACGUGAGGAACUUGUCCCGGUCUCUGGGAUAACAGUUGGAAACGACUGCUAAUACCGGAUGACGUCGGAGCGUCGCAUGGCGCGCUGACGAAAGGGUUACCGGAUCGGGAGAGCCUCGCGGCCUAUCAGCUUGUUGGUGGGGUAACGGCCUACCAAGGCAUCGACGGGUAGCUGGUCUGAGAGGAUGAUCAGCCACACUGGGACUGAGACACGGCCCAGACUCCUACGGGUGGCAG
rnacentral:rRNA from 1 species